GGUGUGAAAAACACGAAGUGAACAAACGCAAUUGCAAACAAAAAAACACCAAACUGCUGCAAAGUAGUGACAAAAUCGGGGUGGCUGAGGUGUGUUUAAAAGCUGGAAGCUAAUUGCAGGAAGAGGGUUUUGGUUCCGAGCAGCGAAAACAGACGAUCAAUCCGAUGGGAGCACAGGCACCAAUCGGAGCCAGCAGCCACCACAGUUCGAGACUCAAGUCGCAGAUUGACCUCCUCGUCAGGAAGAGAAGCUCGAUUCCAGCAGUUCUUUAUUAUUGCAUCAAUUAUUAGGUUUUCGGAAUUAAUUGUUCAGCGGCCAAGAUACCAUUUCGACGAAAUAGACCCUUUACACGCCAGUCGCGAUGAGUAGUCCAGCGGGAUCAGUGCGGCAGCAGCUUUCAUCACAGCGGCAGAAGAAACCUCAGCAUUGUCGGUGCCUAAAUCCUUCAACAACAGAAAGCAAUUCAGAUGCUGGGAAAUUAUCUGGGCAACGCUCACAACUGCGAUUGCCGCCCAUAAGUCGACCGCCAGGAAAAAUCAAAAGGAAUCCUAAAAAUUAUUUCCCAAACGAUACAGUGAGAUCAAAAUACUGAUCACGACUUGGAUCAAACACAGGAAGAUCGACAUUGCCAAAGGUAUCAGCUAUCUAUUCGAAUGUUAUUUUGGAAUUUAAAAAAAAAAUGAAAUCCGCUUUGAAUGCGAUGAAACCUUAUUUUGGCAGGCGAAUUAAUUGUGCCUUAAUUGU